UAUUAUUAUUGAUGCAGAGCAAGGAGUCCCAAAAUAGUAAGUGUGCCAAAAACAUCGAUAAAGUGAGCCAAAGGGUGAGUUUGGCGAAGAUCCCUCUUGCUGUAGGGGUUGCACCCAUUUAGGAAUCAGUCGAAGCGUUACCUAGCUGUUGGAAGGUGACUAGAUUAAGAUAUGACGCCCUGCACGAUGAACUUUGCUGUUGUCAUCUUGAAAAAUAUGUUCCUAGGACAGCACCAUUUUGUUGAGACCACAUGUUGUCCAAUAUACAUAUUGAAACGUGUGUAUUAGGCGGCCAGUGUGUUUAAUUCCCCUAAUUGAUCCAGUCUACAUGACUUUUUCUCUUUAACAGCUUCACAUUUGAUGAAAUUCUAACCAUAUUUUGAAUGCAAUUUGUGAGCCAAACUUUCAUUACUAAUAAAAUAUUGUUCGUCGAUGA